AGAAAAGUCACGUUUUAGAGGAGUGUGUGGUCGGCUACGCUAGACUGUUUUGCUUCUAAACGUUCGUUAUCAACUUAAUUUCAAUAGUGAGCAGGACAUAUAUUCUAAUUCUAACUUACAUUCGUUUCGCAGUAAAGAACACCCACUAUAGAAAAGGUUGCGUUGACAAUUGACAGCGCAUAUCGUGAAAUUGGAUCUCAGCUGACAAGGACUGGAACUUGUGGACACACGUGAUCAAUUUAAAGCGUUUCAUCGUCAUUGUGGUGACACACAUCUCUGCGUACCUGGCAGAUAUCUCAGCUUGCAUGUCUGCCCACCACCUCAAGCUCAACCUCGAAACAAGACGGCGCUGCUCUUCCUCCUGUGGAAGGCUUCCCACUCCAGGACCUCUCCAUCACUGUGUCCCCCUCCCAGAACGCAAAGAACAUUGGCGUGACCCUGGACAACACCCUGUGGUUCUCUGCAAACAUCCAUUCUCUGCAAACAUCAAGGCAGUGACUCACUCCAGCAUGUUCAUGCUCUACAACAUCCAUAGAGUAUGACCCUACCUCAAACAGGAAGUGGCACAUGUCCUAAUCCAGGCACUUGUCUUCUCUCAUCUGGACUACUGUAACUUGCUGUUGGUUUGGCUCGCCGCUUGUGCCAUCAAACCCCUGCAACUCAUAAAGAAUGCUACAGCCCACCUGGUGUUCAGUCUUCCCAACUUCUCCCACAUCACCCCACUCCUCCGCACACUCAACUGGCUUCCAGUUGAAGCUCGCAUCCACUACAAGACCAUGGUACUUGAAGCAGCAAUUGGAACUGCCCCUCCAAACCUUCAGGUUAUGCUUCCUCCUGAAGCUAGGACAGCAGAGUCCCUCCCCAUCUUCUGAAAACAUCUGAAAACAUCUGAAACCUAACUUGUUCAAGAGUAUCUUGAAUAAUCCCAAAGAUCCCCCUCUCACACCCCUUCCUCACCCCGAUGCUGCAGCCCGGCCUCCUAGUGUUCAACCUUCCCAAGAUCGUACACUUUAAUGGCUUGCAGUCGAAGCUCGCAUCCACUACAAGACCAUGGUAAUUGCCUAUGGAGCAGCAAGAGGAACUGCCCCUCCCUACCUUCAGGCUAUGCUCAAACCCUACACUCCAACCGUAGCACUCUCUUCUGUCACCUCUGGUCUUUCUGCCCUCCCACACCUACGGAAGGACAGCUCCCGCUCAGCCCAGUAAAUUCUCUUCUCCAUCCUGGCACGCCAAUGUUGUAACCUGCUUCCUCCUGAAGCUAGGACAGCACUGCCCACAUUCCGAAAACAUCUGAAAUAAAUGUGAUCAAAAUGCCA